rnacentral:rRNA from 1 species
AUGAAGUACGGCGACGACGGCUCCACGUCCCUGGCAUUGGUGCCCGUGCCCAUGCCCGGGGAGCCGACGGCGGUGGCGCCCGGUGAUUCCGGGGCUUUCUCGGCGCCGGCCGGCAAACCGGCGGCGGGCGGCGUGCUGGCGGUGCCACCGGUGGGGAUGAAGAAGCGGGGUCGCCCAAAGGGCUCCACCAACAAGGUGAAGAAGCAGGACAAGGUCAUGUCUGCGCUUGCUUUCAUCGGGACUGCAGGAGCUGGCUUCACUCCACAUGUCAUUGCUGUUCAAGCUGGAGAGGAUGUGGCUGCAAAGAUCCUGUCAUUUGCGCAGCAUGGAGUUCGUGCAGUUGUUGUUCUUUCAGCAAAUGGCGCCAUUUCAAACGUGACCCUUCGGCAAUCUGCCACUUCAGGUGGGACGGUCACAUACGAGGGCCGAUUUGAGAUACUGUCGCUGUCCGGAUCGUUCACCGUGCAAGAGACUGGAGGCCAUCGUAGCCGAACCGGUGGGCUGAGUGUUUCACUUGCAAGUCCUGAUGGCCGCGUCUUGGGUGGCGGAAUUGCUGGACUCCUGAUUGCCUGCACACCUAUUCAGGUUGUGGUGGGAACCUUCAACACCGUGGCCGAGAAGAAGAAGGCGCCGAAGCACGCCGCCGCCGCUGCUGCUGCACAUGAACCGGCAUCCGCGCCACCGAGGAUGACGCCGAGCUUCGUGCCGGCGCCGAUCGCCGUGCCGCCUCUCGCGCAUGCUCCCAUCAGCGUCGGGAUGGCCCAGAACAGCCCGCCGUCCAGGGGCACGCUGAGCGAGUCCUCCGGGAGCCCGAUGAACCAGGGCGUCCCGGCGGCGGCCACUCCCAGCAACAGCGGCCUGUCCAGCAUGCCCUGGAAGUGA